rnacentral:ncRNA from 2 species
AAACAAACACAGGGGUGCUGAUGAGAAUCGGCUGAGAAAAAGCGAGAAGUUUUUAACCCUAGAACCUGUAUCUGGAUAAUGCCAGCGUAGGGAGUCAUGAAAGGAUUUUG